rnacentral:rRNA from 1 species
GACGAACGCUGGCGGCGUGCCUAAUACAUGCAAGUAGAACGCACAGUUUAUACCGUAGCUUGCUACACCAUAGACUGUGAGUUGCGAACGGGUGAGUAACGCGUAGGUAACCUGCCUGGUAGCGGGGGAUAACUAUUGGAAACGAUAGCUAAUACCGCAUAAUAUUAAUUAUUGCAUGAUAAUUAAUUGAAAGGUGCAAUUGCACCACUACCAGAUGGACCUGCGUUGUAUUAGCUAGUAGGUGAGGUAACGGCUCACCUAGGCGACGAUACAUAGCCGACCGGGGAGGGUGGUCGGCCACACUGGGAGUGAGACACGGCCCAGACUCCUACGGGAGGCAGCAGUAGGGAAGCUUCGGCAAUGGACGAAAGUCUGACCGAGCAACGCCGCGUGAGUGAAGAAGGUUGUCGGAUCGUAAAGCUCUGUUGUAAGAGAAGAACGGGUGUGAGGGUGGAAAGUUCACACUGUGACGGUAUCUUACCAGAAAGGGACGGCUAACUACGUG